GAUUUAUAAAGAAGCGGCGAGAGAUCAGGCUCAAUUACCCGCUGGCAACCCUCUAAGUUUAGAGAAGGUGCCAAUUCCUGUCCCGGCAAAUAACACCGGGGGAUAUAAAUU
rnacentral:ncRNA from 2 species